UGACUUCGGAUUAAGUAGGAAUACCUAUUAAACUUAAAUAUAUUAAUAAGUAGAGGAAAAGAAACUAAUAAGGAUUACCCUAAUAAUAGCGAGUGAAGUAGUAAUAAUUUAAAUUUAAAAUUUAACUUCGGUCCGAAUUAUAAUUUAUAGAGGAAGCUUUUAGUAAAGUACCUUCUAAGUCCUUUAAAACAGGGCGCUAUAGAGGGUAAGAGCUCUAUAUAGUUGAAUACUAAUUUAAUAUAAAGUUCCUUCAAUGAAUUAAGUAAUUUAGGAAUAUUAUUUAAAAUAGGAAGUAAAUUUCUUUUAAAGUUAAAUACCAACUAGAGAUUAAUAGUAUAUAAAUAGAGUAAUUAAAAAAUGAAAAGUACUUUAAAAAGAGGGUUAAAUAGUAUAUAAAAUUAUUAAAAGGGAAGUGUUUGUAAUUAAAUUUAUAUUAUUCCGAUUAUUCGGUAUUUUUAUUAAUAUAUUUAGGAUAGUUUAGGCUAAUAUUGGUUUUAGUAGGGGGAUAAAGGUCUAGGGAAUAUAGCUCCUCCGGGAGUAUUAUAACCCUGGGUGUAAUACCCUCGCCGGGACCGAGGUUUAUGUAUUUAUAAGGAUACUAGUAUAAUAGUUAUUAACGACCUAUUUUAAAAUAUAAAUUAAAGAAUUAAGGUUUUAUAUAAGUAUUUAAGUAUAAAACUUAUAUAUAUAAUGAAAGUGAAUAUAAGUAAGAGCUUCGGUAUAUUAUUGAUUAAUUUUAAUAUAUUUGGAUAGAUUUAAAUAAGAGUAUUAAACCUUAGACCCGAAAGAUAAUGAACUAUAUUUAAAUAGGGUAAAGUUAGAGGAAAUUCUAGUAGAAGUUCGUAGCGGUUCUAACGUACAAAUCGAUUAUUAAAUUUAAAUAUAGGGGCGAAAGACUAAUCGAAUUAUUUAGUAGCUAAUUAUUAUUAAAGUUUCCCUUAGGAUAGUAGUAUUAUUCUUUAAUUUUAUAAAGUAAAGCGAAUGAUUAGGGACUUAGGGGCGCUUUUUAGCCUUUAUCUAUUCUUAAACUUUAAAUAUAUAAGAAACCCUUAUUAUUUAAUUGAAUAUAGGUAUUUAAAUAUACUAAUAUUAAUAAAUUAUUUUUAGUAAGUAAAAUUAGUAAUACGGAAUAAACCGAACGUAGGGUUAAAGUAUUAGAGUAAAUGCUUAUUAAAUACUAUAAAAGGUAUUAAUAUAUUUUAAUAGUAGGACGGUAGUUAUAAAAGUUGGAAUUUAUUAAGGAUUAUAUAAUAAUUUACUUACCGAAUAUAUUAGCUUUAAAAAUAAAUAGUAUUUAAACGUCCUACUUAUACCCUGCCUUUAGAGUAGAAAUAAUGCCCUAAGGAGUAGGCAGCCGUAGAGGUUAGUAACGAAGCUUAGGGCGUAAGCCUGGGUCGAACGGCCUUUAGUAUAAAUUUUAGUAGUAGUAGUAAAUACUUUAAUAAGAAUUUGAAGGAUUAAAGUAGGGAAAGGUUCUAUAUAAAUAGUAAUUAGAUAUAAGUUAAUUAAUCCUAAGCUAUAGGGAAAUUCCGUUUUAAAGGGGUAUUUAUACCCUAUAUAGCGAAAGGGAAGCCGGUUAAUAUUUUAGUACCUAAAUAUAGGUUUUAUAUAGUAACGUAAUUAAAUAUAAAAAUAAUAGUGGGGGCCCCGGGUAAAAUUCUUUUUUCUUUUUAAUAAUUUAUUAUUUUAAAAAUAGUUUGUUUAAAAAUAGGAUUUAAUAGCCGGAAGAGCCUAAUACUUCUAUUAAGUCCAAUAUACUCUUAAUAUCCCUUAAAAAUCCAUAAGAGGGAAUAAUUCUUAUAUUAGGUUAUACUUAUAACUAUAAUAGGUCUCUAAAGUAAAUAGCUUCUAAUUAAUAGAAUAAUAUAAAUAAGGGAAGUUGGUAAAAUAGAUUUGUAAUUUUAGGAAAAGGAUUAAUUCUAAGGGUUAGGUACGUCGGGCUUUAGGUAAACGCCUUAGAAGUAGAUUACUACUAGCCGGGCAACCGGCCAACGGCUUUUAAUAUCCGGGUAUAAAAGCCUUUAAUAGACUUUAAUUAUCCGGUAUACAUUUAAUAACUAACUUAGAAUUAGUACAAAUAAGGGGAAUCUAACUAUCUAAUUAAAAUAUAGUAUUACAAUAGCUAAAAAGUAGUAUUAAUAUAAUAUAAUUUCUAUUUAAUAUUCUAAAUAUUAAAAUAAAGAAAUUUAAUUAAAUACAAAUAAACAGCGGGAGUAAUUAUAAUUCUCUUAAAGUAACCAAAUACUUCAUUAUUUAAUUAGUAACGUAUAUAAAUAAAUUAAUGAAAUUCCUACUAUCCCUAUCUACUAUUUAGCGAAACUAUAACUAAAGGAACGGGCUUAGUAGAAUUAGCGGGGAAAGAAGACCUUAUUAAAUUUAAUUCUAAUUUAAUAUUAUAAAAAGAUAUAGGAGGUAUAGAAUAGGUAAGAGCUUCAACGCUAGUAAAAUACUAUUAUUCCUAUUAUUUUUUUAUUUAUUUAAUUAAACGGGGCUGGAUUUUCGUCCAAUUUCUAGUUUUAAGGUCCUUCGCGGGCCAACCCGGGUUAAAAAUAUUAUUAAGUAGGGAAUUUAAUUAGGGCGGUAUAUUUAUUAAAUUAUAAUAUAAGUAUUUUAAAGGGGGCUUAUAGAGAAUAGAAAUCUCUAAUAGAAUAAAAGGGUAAAAGUCCCUUUAAUUUUAAUUUUUAAUAUAAAUACAAACUAUAAAAGUAUAGCCUAUCGAUCCUUUAGUCCCUCGAAAUUUAAAGUUAAAGGUAUUAAAAAAGUUACUAUAAGGAUAAUUAGUUUAUAGUAGCCAAAUAUUUAUAGCAAUAUUACUUUUUAAUCCUUCGAUAUCGGCUCUUCCUAUUAUACCGAAGUAGAAUUCGGUAAGCGUUAGAUUGUUUACCUAUUAAUAGGGAACGUAAAUUAGGUUUAGACUAUUGUAAAAUAAAUUAAUUUUACCUUACUAAUAACUUUAUUAUAAUAGUAAUUAAACUUAAUAUAAGAGGAACCGCUUAUUUAAAUAAUUAGUUUUUAUAGUUAUCCAAUUAAGUAGUACUAUAACACUACUAUUUAUUAGAUAAUAAUUAAACGCCUCUAAAUUAAAAUCUAUAUUAGAAUAUAAUAAUACUUCUAAUAUAUUAUAAAUAUAUAAAAAUAGGCUCUAGCUUUAUAUUUUAAUAGGCAAUUCCUCCAUUAACCUUAAAGUAACUAACAGUAAUUCGUAUAUUAUAAUUUUAAUACGCACUAGAUCAAAUCCUUUAUAAACAAUUUAAAUAUACAAAAGGGUCCUAUAAAUAGUAAAAUAACUUUAUUAUUACAAUCUACUAAAAGUAAGCCCUCCUUCGUCUAAAUUUCC
rfam:Neurospora crassa OR74A unplaced genomic scaffold supercont12.8, whole genome shotgun sequence.